rnacentral:rRNA from 1 species
UGGGGAAUUUUGCGCAAUGGACGAAAGUCUGACGCAGCAACGCCGCGUGGGUGAUGAAGGUCUUCGGAUCGUAAAACCCUGUCGUCAGGGACGAAGGGUUGCGACCUAAUACGUCGUAACCUUGACGGUACCUGGAGAGGAAGCCCCGGCUAAC